UACGGGGGGGGCAAGCGUUGUCCGGAAUCAUUGGGCGUAAAGAGCGUGUAGGCGGCCCGAUAAGUCCGCUGUGAAAGUCCAGGGCUCAACCCUGGAAUGCCGGUGGAUACUGUCGGGCUCGAAUCCGGAAGAGGUGAGUGGAAUUCCUGGUGUAGCGGUGAAAUGCGCAGAUAUCAGGAGGAACACCAAUGGCGAAGGCAGCUCACUGGGACGGUAUUGACGCUGAGACGCGAAAGCGUGGGGAGCAAACAGG
rnacentral:rRNA from 1 species